rnacentral:rRNA from 1 species
GACGAACCGUGCAAACGUUGUUCGGAAUCACUGGGCUUAAAGCGCACGUAGGCGGAUUGUUAAGUCAGGGGUGAAAUCCUGGAGCUCAACUCCAGAACUGCCUUUGAUACUGGCGAUCUCGAGUCCGGGAGAGGUGAGUGGAACUGCGAGUGUAGAGGUGAAAUUCGUAGAUAUUCGCAAGAACACCAGUGGCGAAGGCGGACUCACUGGCCCGGUACUGACGCUGAGGUGCGAAAGCGUGGGGAGCAAACAGG